AAUGGGGGAAACCCUGAUGCAGCAACGACCGCGUGAGUAUGAAGGCCUUUGGGUGUGUGAAGCCUCUGUCCUAGGGGAAGAAAAAAAUGACGGUACCCGAGGAGGAAGCCCCGGCUAACUACGUGCCAGCAGCCGCGGUAAUACGUAGGGGGCAAGCGUUAUCCGGAAUUAUUGGGCGUAAAGAGUGCGUAGGUGGUCUACUAAGCGCGAGGUGAAAGGCAAUGGCUCAACCAUUGUUAGCCUUGUGAACUGGCAGACUUGAGUGCAAGAGAGGAAAGCGGAAUUCCUAGUGUAGCGGUGAAAUGCGCAGAUAUUAGGAGGAACACCGGCGGCGAAGGCGGCUUUCUGGAUUGUAACUGACACUGAGGCACGAAAGCGUGGGUAGCAAACAGGAUUAGAUACCCUGGUAGUCCACGCCGUAAACGAUGAGCACUAGGUGUCGGGACAUGAGUCUCGGUGCCGCAGUUAACGCCAUAAGUGCUCCGCCUGGGGAGUACGCACGCAAGUGUAAACUCAAGGAAUUGACGGGACCGCACAGCAGCGGAGCAUGUG
rnacentral:rRNA from 1 species